AAGUCGAGCGAGAACCAGGGCUUCGGCCCCGGGGACAGCGGCGAACGGGUGAGUAACACGUGGAUAACCUGCCCUCGGCACCGGGAUAGCCCGGGGAAACCCGGAUUAAUACCGGAUGGCCCUUCCGGCUCACGAGCCGGUCGGAAAAGGUAGCUUCGGCCUCCGGCCGAGGAUGGGUCCGCGGCGGAUUAGCUUGUUGGUGGGGUAACGGCCUACCAAGGCUCCGAUCCGUAGCUGGUCUGAGAGGACGAUCAGCCACACUGGGACUGAGACACGGCCCAGACUCCUACGGGAGGCAGCAGUGGGGAAUCUUGCACAAUGGGCGAAAGCCUGAUGCAGCGACGCCGCGUGAGGGAGGAAGGCCUUCGGGUUGUAAACCUCUUUCAGGAGGGACGAAGCUACUCGGGUUAACAGCCCAGAGGGUGACGGUACCUCCAGAAGAAGCCCCGGCUAACUACGUGCCAGCAGCCGCGGUAAUACGUAGGGGGCAAGCGUUGUCCGGAUUUACUGGGCGUAAAGAGCGUGUAGGCGGCCAAACAGGUCCGUUGUGAAAACUGGAGGCUCAACCUCCAGACGUCGACGGAAACCGUGUGGCUAGAGUCCGGAAGAGGAGAGUGGAAUUCCUGGUGUAGCGGUGAAAUGCGCAGAUAUCAGGAAGAACACCAAUGGCGAAGGCAGCUCUCUGGGACGGUACUGACGCUGAGACGCGAAAGCGUGGGGAGCGAACAGGAUUAGAUACCCUGGUAGUCCACGCCGUAAACGAUGGGUGCUAGUUGUGGGGAGGUGUCGACUCCUUCCGUGCCGUAGCUAACGCAUUAAGCACCCCGCCUGGGGAGUACGGCC
rnacentral:rRNA from 1 species